rnacentral:rRNA from 1 species
GGUACCGGAAGAAUAAGCACCGGCUAACUACGUGCCAGCAGCCGCGGUAAUACGUAGGGUGCGAGCGUUAAUCGGAAUUACUGGGCGUAAAGCGUGCGCAGGCGGUUUGAUAAGACAGGCGUGAAAUCCCCGAGCUCAACUUGGGAAUGGCGCUUGUGACUGUCAGGCUAGAGUAUGUCAGAGGGGGGUAGAAUUCCACGUGUAGCAGUGAAAUGCGUAGAGAUGUGGAGGAAUACCGAUGGCGAAGGCAGCCCCCUGGGACGUGACUGACGCUCAUGCACGAAAGCGUGGGGAGCAAACAGGAUUAGAUACCCUGGUAGUCCACGCCCUAAACGAUGUCAACUAGUUGUUGGGGAUUCAUUCUUCAGUAACGUAGCUAACGCG